GGAGGAUUAGCUCAGCUGGGAGAGCGUCUGCCUUACAAGCAGAGGGUCAUAGGUUCGAACCCUAUAUCCUCCACCA
rnacentral:tRNA from 2 species